AAUGCUAGGUGCAUUGCAAGUGUGGCUGACACAUCACAUGUGUGUCAGUGGACAGCAGAGAGGAGAGAUGUUAUGUGUAUGCUUAGUGUUCUGACCUAUGAACACCUGAAUGUUUAGUAGCCUAAUAUU